GUAGUCGGAUUAGUAUUAAUCUACAUUUGUUGAGAUGAGUUGGAAUGGAACUUAAACUAAAUUUCAUCCCAAUCCACUUCAUCUCAUAUGGAUUGAGAUGAAUCCGACA
rnacentral:pre_miRNA from 1 species